AUAAUCUUCUCGUUCUUCUCGUCUUCUUUAA
rnacentral:sRNA from 1 species